GGCGUACUUGCCGAUGGGGUCGUAAGGCUCGUACGCGGUCCGCUCCAGGCCCGACGGCGGCGCCUGCGGGUAGCCCAGUCGCUGGAUGAUGGCCGUGCCGGGCCCAAAGCUGUUCCAGGCCGUGCAGUUGUAGUGUGUCUGGAAGUCGGCCUCCAUGACGUUGCUGAUGGACACAGGCUCCGUGAAGAAGGAGUAGUCGACAUUGGUCUGAUAGCGACUCUCGUGGGCGUCUUCAAUCAAGAAGCCCCCCUUGGCCCACCUGGGGAGACGGCAACACAGGGCGGGAUCGAGGCUUGGAGCCCGGUGGCCACGUCCAGCGGCGCUACGCCGCCCCUGCCCCCCCACUCCAGGCCCAGGGUGCCCCAGCCCCCCACGCCUUGCACCUGUAGCCCAGGAUCUCGGGGUUGGCCGUGGCCUGGCACGUGAAGACGACGCGCUCUCCCUCCUGCACUGUCUGUGGCUCAAUGGACAGGGUCACCGUGGGCGGGUCUGCAAAGCCGGGGGCAGGAAGGGGCUUGUCUGUCCCUCGAGUUUCUUGGUCUUUCCAACACACCCCCCCAGCCCUCCCCACUGUGCGGAGACCUGGGAAUCGGAGGUCACGUUGCAUCAGCUCCAAUAAAUAGGGCAUCUUCCUCACCUGCACCCUGCAGAGCCUCCAGAGGGCCGGCCAGGGUGCAGGACCCAGG